GUGGGGAAUAUUGGACAAUGGGGGAAACCCUGAUCCAGCCAUGCCGCGUGAGUGAUGAAGGCCUUCGGGUUGUAAAGCUCUUUCACCCACGACGAUGAUGACGGUAGUGGGAGAAGAAGCCCCGGCUAACUUCGUGCCAGCAGCCGCGGUAAUACGAAGGGGGCGAGCGUUGUUCGGAAUGACUGGGCGUAAAGGGCGCGUAGGCGGUCCGUUGCGUCGGGCGUGAAAGCCCCGGGCUCAACCCGGGAACGGCGCUCGAUACGGGCGGGCUUUGAGUCCGGAAGAGGGUGGUGGAAUUCCCAGUGUAGAGGUGAAAUUCGUAGAUAUUGGGAAGAACACCGGUGGCGAAGGCGGCCACCUGGUCCGGCACUGACGCUGAGGCGCGAAAGCGUGGGGAGCAAACAGG
rnacentral:rRNA from 1 species